rnacentral:lncRNA from 1 species
AAUUUUUGUGUUUUUAGUAGAGACUACGUUGGCCAGGCUGGCCUCGAACUCCUGACCUCAUGAUCCACCCACCUUGGCCUCCCUAAGUGUUGGGAUUACAGGUGUGAGUCACCGCGCCCAGUCAAUAUUUAUUUAUUUAUUUACUUACUUACUUAACAUAGAGACAGGAUCUUGCUCUGUCAUCCAGGCUAGAGUGCAGUGAUGCCAUCCCAUCAUAGCUCACUGCAGCCUCAAACUCCUGAACUCAAGUAAUCCUCCUGCCUCAGCCUCCCCAGUAGCUGGGACUACAGGCGUGUGCCACCAUGCCUAAGUUUUAAAUUUUUUUGUAGAGACGGGGGUCUCACCUUGUUGCCCAGGCUGGUCUCACACUCCUGGGUUCAAACAAUCCUUCCAUCUCAGCCUUCCAAAGUGCCUGGAUUACAGAUGUGAGCCACCGCGCCCGGCCUACUCAAAGUCCUAUCUGGGAAAAUGCUAUCUGGUGGUAAUGUGUAAUUUUCAAUUUUUAAAAAAAAUUGGUUCUGUAAUAGUCUUUUAGGCCCUUCCCCUUUGUAUAAAGAUGUAUUUAUAAGUAAAUGAAUUAUGAAAUUGGUUCAUUUCCAUCUUUUUAAAAGGUAGUCAAAAAUAAUUGUCAGAUGCAAUGAGAUAUUGGAUGAGCUGCAUAGGUAAGAUAUAAGCAGUGUACAAAGUGGGAUAAAAAUGCCACUUUACAUACUUUUUUUUUUUUUUUGAGACAGAGUUUUAUUCUUAUUGCCCAGGAUGAAGUGCAGUGGCGCGAUCUCAGCUCACUGCAACUUCCACCUUCCAGUUUCAAGCAAUUCUUCUGCCCUAGCCUCUUGAGUAGCUGGGAUUACAGGCAUGUGCCACCAUGCCUGGCUAAUUUUUUUUGUAUUUUUAUUGGAGACGGGGUUUCACCAUGUUGGCCAGGCUGUCUGGAGCUCCUGACUUCAGGUGAUCUGCCGACUUCGACCUCCCAAAAUACUGGGAUUAUAGGCGUGAGCCACCACACCCAGUCCACUUUUCAUACUUUCUAAAACAAUAUUUAGGGAUUUUUGUGUUAGCCACUCUCCUAUCUCAUUUCUCCAAUUGAAGUAAUGCAUAAAUCUUCCAUUCUCUUUUUUCUCUCAUUCAUGGAUAGAAUGAAUGUCUAUAAUGAAAAGAGCUUCUUAUCAAUAGCCCUCUCAGAUUUGUUCUGAAUUUUGCCAAAUAUUUGUAUAACUCUGCAAAAGACUUUCUUUCCCUGCCUUCUCCUUUAGAGGGAAAAACAAACUGUAGGUGUGACAGCUUACCUCCUAGCAUUGUUGUGAGGUUUGGCUGGCACAAGAUAAAGUGCUGUGUAAUUACUCUGAAAUGUUUGUAAUUAAUAAAGAAAUGAAUUGUAGGCACUUUGUCAGUAGAAACCACUGUGAUUUGGAAACGCAAUGUUUCAAUAAUAAAGACUAUAAAAUUUAAAAAAGAAAAAAAUUAAUUCUCUCCAAAUUAUAAAUUAAAUGGUAUACCUAAUGACUUUCCUUAGAACUUGAAAAGCUUAACCCAAAAUUUAUAUGAAAAGGCAAGAGCCUGGAAUGGUUAAGACAACGUUAAAGAAGAAGAAGAAUGUGAGACUUACCCUUAUAGAGACCGCAAUUAACCAUAAAGCCAUAGAUGUUCUCAAGCCUAGUAUAGCGCCUGACACACAGUAGUUAAUGAAUGUUUGCUCAGUAGACUGAUGGGUGGAACAAUGAGUUGCUUGGGGGUCAGGAUUAACUCUGGAAGUGGUAGUUGUGGGAAGGGUUGAACCUGAAGAUUAGGGCGACUCAGAACUGCAAAGACCAGGGAAGUUGGGUUCUGAGAAGGGGCAGGACAGAGAGCUGACUAAUUUGUUUCAUUUGUCUACACAUACCCUUAAGCAAAUUUUAUCUUGUACAGUUUGAGUAUGGGGUUUAUGUUUUCUUAAAAUUCAGCAAGCCUUUAACAGGAAUGUACUCAGUAUUAAGUGUGGUGUCAGAUUGGCUGCAGUGUAGGAAAGCUUUUAUUCCAUGGGAAAGAAGUCCAUGAUUUUUGGAGCUAUCUAUUAUGCAGUUAUGUUGCUAUAGAUUUAGUUAUUUGGAUCUCAUGAUUGAAAUAGUAUUUUAAAUUGGGGACAUCUUUUGUUUGGGAGAGGUUGUUUAGAAAUGACAGGUGAAGAAUAAAAUUAUUAGAGUAAAAUUUGGCCAUAUGUGACAUGGGCAUUAAUGAUCCAAUGAUUUAUAUAUGCCAGUAAUAGAAUUUACAAAGGACAGCCAAUGGUGAGAUGCUGUUCUCUGGUGGCAUUCUGGUAAUAACCAGCUCUCGUAUGGUGCUUGAUAGUUUCCAAAGUACUUUUGCAUACCUUAUGUUAUUUGUGCCUCCAAGGUAUGUAAAGGAGGUUUAUUUCAAUUCAGUGAUCGUUUAUUGAGCAUGUUUUGUGCCAAGUUUUGUACUAGAUCUUGGGAAACCAGCAAUGAGGCAAAGAACUUGACUCCAAGUUAACAUAGACAGGUAACACUGGGAUACACGCACAACCAGGAGUUUAAGUUUGGAAACAAUAAUUAAGGAGGGAGACAUAUGAUUAGGAUGUGGUAAUGGUAGGUUGUGAUGGCUUUCCUAGGCUUUGUUAUAUUUUUUGUUUCAAGGAAGAAUUGUGUGUUUUACACCACUUUGAAACUAUCUUUCACAAUUUACAUAGCUGAUAAUAUACUUUUUUUUUUUUAAAGCAGUCUAGCUCUGUUGCCCAGGCCGCAGUGCAGUGGCACCAUCUCAGCUCACUGCAAUCUCUGCCUGCCGGGCUCAAGCGAUUCUCCUGCCUCAGCCUCCCAAGUAGCUGGGACUAUAGGCGCGUGCUACCAUGCCUGGCUAAUUUUUGUAUUUCUAGUAGAGACGAGUUUCACCAUGUUGGCCAGGCUGAUCUCAAACUCCCUACCUCAAGUGAUCUGCUGCUUUGGCCUCCCAAAGUGCUGGGAUUACAGGCAUGAGCCACUGCGCCCAAACAUCUGAUGAUAUACUUUGUUGUUGUUGUUGUUGAGACAACGUCUUGCUCUGUCGCCCAGGUUGGAGUGGUGUGAUUUCAGCUCACUGCAACCUCCACUUUCCGGGUUCAAAUGAUUUUCCUGCCUUAGCCUUCUGAGUAGCUGGGACUACAGACACGUACCACCACACCUGGCUAAAUUUUUGUAGUUUUAGUAGAGAUGGGGUCUCACCAUGUUGGCCAGGCUGGUCUCGAACUCCUGACCUCAGGUGAUCCAUCCUCCUCGGCCUCCCAAUGUGCUGGGAUUACAGGCAUGAGCCACCACGCCCUGAUGAUAUACUUUUGAAAAUUAUAUUACAUUUUCUACAGUUACACUGUCUUUCCUCUGAAAAAUCUGGGUGAUCUGUUAGAACAUUUGAUCUAAGCUACACUCCUUGAUAAUGUAUUUGUCGAAGGAAUGAUUAAUUUAUGUGCAUAAUUUAGUCCUUUGCAUACAAAAUGCAAUUUUGUUUAUUAGAAAUAUUUUAGAUAAUGCUUUGUAGGAUUUUUGUGUUAUUUUUAGGUCUGAAAAAGAUGAAGAAUAAAACAUGGCAAGUCUAGAGGGAGGCACUGCUUGAAGUGCGUGAAACAAAUCAAGCAUCAACAAAAAUAGAAGCCCUUGAGAUGAAGAACAGAAAAUCUGUGAUUAUUAUCAUUAUUAGCUUUACAGGGAUGUUGAAGUGAUCAGGAUAUCAAUGACAUAAUUAAGUGGUAUUAUAUUUUUAAAAUUUGAGAAAUAAGGAAACCAUUGCUUUAGGAUAUGUCUCUUAUGUACUCAGAAAAGCUUGCUUUUGUAAGUUAAGCCUCAAUGAUGAAUAAAUAGUGCAUUUGUGGCUGGGCGUGGUAGCUCAUGCCUGCAAUCCCAGCACUUUGGGAGGUUGAGGCAGACAGAUCACCUGAGGUCAGGAGUUUGAGACAAGGCUGGCCAACAUGGUGAAACCCUGUUUCUACUAGAAAUACAAAAAAUAAGCCAGACAUGGUGGUGCACACCUGUAGUCCCAGCUACUCGGGAAGCUGAGGCAGGAGAAUCACUUGAACCCAGGAGGCAGAGGUUGCAGUGAGUCGAGAUUGCACCACUGCACUCCAGCCUGGGCGACAGAGUGAGACUCCAUCUAAAAAAAAAAAAAUAGUGCAUUUGUAUUAAUUACAUGGAUACAAUUCUGUAUACCAAAGAAAAAUAUCCACAUUUACUGCAGAUUCUUUUGUAGGCUGUGUAGAAUUUCUUACUUUAGGCCGGGUGUGGUAGCUCACACCUGUAAUCCCAGCACUUUGGGAGGCCAAGGCAGGCGGAUCAGAAGGUCAGGAGAUUGAGACCACCUUGGCCAACAUGGUGAAACCCUGUCUCUACUAAAAUACAAAAAAUUAGCCGGGCAUGGUGGCGUGUGCCUGUAAUACCAGCUACUUGGGAGGCUGAGGCAGGGAACUCACUUGAACCCGGGAGGCGGAACUUGCAGUGAGCUGAGAUCGCGCCACUGCACUCCAGCCUGGCGACAGAGCAAGAUUCCGUCUCAAAAAAAAAAAAAAAAAAAAGAAUUUCUUACUCAUAUGAACUUGACCCUGUAAACACUAUAAGAAAAACUUCUUUGCUACAGGUUGAUUUUCUUUUGGAAUGGGAUCCCUUUAUUCUGAUAAUUGAUUCUAACAGAAGACUUCUACUCAAUGUGAUAAUGGAAUGAUUUGGAGCAACUCUACUAUCAAAUCAGGGAAAGCUAGCCUCCAGGGUGAUCCAGAGGUUCUGCUGUCACCUUACAAACCCAAGACAAGAUUUUUCACCAGGACUGGGCUUUGGAUAACAUAUACGUUCCAUAACAAUACCUCGAAGGAGGCAUGUGUUUACAUGGCCUAGUGAUUUUCUCUGGUUGCUUUUGUGGAAUUCAGAUGCUGAUUUUAUCAGUGACUAACCAUGACAUGUGGGGACAUUGUAAGAUAAUUGGUGCUGCUGUCAAGCUUGAAUGAAAGGUAUCUCAUGGGUGGGCGCGUGGCUCAUGCCUGCAAUCCCAGCACUUCGGGAGGCCAAGACAGGCAGAUCGCUUGAGCUCAAGAGUUUGAGACCAGCCUGGACAAAACCCCAUCCCUGUAAAAAAUACAAAAAUUAGCUGGGUGUGGUGGCGCACGCUUAUAGUCCCAGCUACUCAGGAGGCUGAAGUGGGAGGAUCGCUUGAGCCUGGGAGGCAAAGGCUUGCAGUGAGCCCAGAUUGCACCACUGCACUCUAGCCUGGGUGACAGAGUGAGACCAUGUCUCAAAAAAAAAAAAAAAAAAAACCAGACACAUUUCGAUAGAAACAUUACUGCAUAAGGUAUUAAAAUUAUGUGUUAACAUUUGAUCACCAAAGGAAAUAUAAGCAUUAUUGCAUUCUAUCUUUUAGUAUUGUUAAAUUUCUUUAUUUAGUCGAUGUUGUAUUAAAGUUAAAUAAAUGCAUCCUUGUUUCUAUUGCUUUUUGUUUUUAUACUAGAAGUUGUUAUUCAGGAAGAAUAGAGACCAGGCUAUAUUUGUAAGUGUUGUGAAAGAAAUCUUAUAAAAGAUAAACUAAGAUUAGGCAGUAUUAGGUAGAUGCAAAAGCAUCAGAAUGCAUAAGAUGAGUAGGAUACAAAGUGUAGUUGAAAAGCCUUGGCUGGGCACAGUGGCUCAUGCCUGUAGUCCCAGCACUUUGGGAGGCCAAGGUGGGAGGAUCCCUAGAGUCCAGGAGUUUGAGACUGGCCCAGGCAACAUAGUGAGACCCCCAUCUCUUGAAAAAAAGAAAAAGAAAAAAAAAAAGGAAAGCCUUAUGUCUCAGAGCUAAGUGUCUGUUUUUAAACAAAUGUAGCCUUAGAUGUCCUGAAAAAAUCUGUCAAGGUAAAUUUGGUUUGGGGUAGAGGUCAGGGAGCACUUGCAGAUGGGAUAGAGAGAAUUUGGAAAACGAGCAGGGUUCCAAAGUACUGAGCAAUUUUCAGGAGGAGUAUAAAAGCCUAGGGGAUAAUUCCUAUGCAUCUGCAUAGGGAAUUUAUUUGAUAGCUAUAUUUUCAGGACCUGUUGACAUUUUAUUCAUCCUUAAAGGCCUCUUUCAGUUGCCAUUUCCCCUGAAGUCUUCUCAGUUUUUCUACUAGCUAAUAAGAACCCAUUUCUCUCUCUUUUUUUUUCUUUUUCUUUUUUCUUUUUUUAGACAGAGUCUCGCUCUGUCGCCCAGGCUGGAGUGCAGUGGUGCGAUGUCGGCUCUCCCAACCCCCGCCUUCCGGGUUUAAGCAAUUCUCUGCCUCAGCCUCCUGAGUAGCUAGGAUUACAGGUGCGUGCCACCAUACCUGGCUAAUUUUUGUAUUUUUUAGUAGAGAUGGGGUUUCACCAUCUUGGCCAGGCUGGUCUUGAACUCCUGACCUCAGGUGAUCUGCCCACCUAGGCCUCCCAAAGUGCGGGGAUUACAGGGAUGAGCCACCACGCCUAGCCAAGAACCAUUUUCUCUUCAGACAAAAGGAACUGUUGUUUGGGGUAGCAUUUUAUUUAUACUUAUAAAAUGUUAUGUUACAGUUUGUGUUGUUACAUGAAUGUAUUUGUCUCUUAAAUCAUGGUAUAGUGUGAAGAAAAUGAGUUCUCAGGCUGGAAAUAUCUGUAUUUGAGUACUAGCUCUGACCUUUCCAACAAUGUGUCUUUUUGUCAUAUAAUGUUUAUUUUCAUAGGGUUGUUGGGAGGAUUAAAUGAAAUUAUAUCUGUAAAGUACCUUUUAUAAUCUGCUAAUCUGCAGGUCAUAAUCUAAUGGUAUAGAAUUUUUGUUCUGUACUCUUUGAUAAGAAUUCUAAGGAGGUGGUUUGGAAAGAGAAAUUUACAGAUACCAGAUGAAAUCCAAAACCCAGGUAUAUAAGGAGUCAUAUGCAAGAUCUCUGUCUGUUAAUCUGCCUCAUGAAAAUGACGAACCAGGAGAAUCUAUGGGACAGUAGGAAAAGCUGCCAGUCACUCAGAUGAUAAUAACAUUUACCUUAUACAUUUAUAAUGGAAAUCCUGCCACUGUUUACACCAGAAACAGUUUCUUUUUUUUUUUUUAAUUUUAUUAUUAUUAUACUUAAAGUUUUAGGGUACAUGUGCACAACGUGCAGGUUUGUUACAUACGUAUACAUGUGCCAUGUUGGUGUGCUGCACCCAUUAAGUCAUCAUUUAUCAUUAGGUAUAUCUCCUAAUGCUAUCCCUCCCCCCUCCCCCCGCCCCACAACAGUCCCCGAUGUGUGAUGUUCCCCCGCUUCCUGUGUCCAUGUGUUCUCAUUGUUCAAUUCCCACCUAUGAGUGAGAACAUGCGGUGUUUUGUUUUUUGUCCUUGUGAUAGUUUGCUGAGAAUGAUGGUUUCCAGUUUCAUCCAUGUCCCUAUAAAGGACAUGAACUCAUCAUUUUUUAUGGCUGCAUAGUAUUCCAUGGUGUAUAUGUGCCACAUUUUCUUAAUCCAGUCUACACCAGAAACAGUUUCUAUUGAGAAAAUGGAUUUUAAUAGAAAAUUCUCAUUUAAAAUUUGGGCAGAUAUCUGUAUUGUUGAGUUAACCAAAUGAGAAGAGAAAAAUCCUUACAACGUAGCUUGUCAUUUGCCUGACUUGAUGCAGACUGCUUUGCUUAGUAAUCAUGCAGCACUAUCAAGACUGUGUACAUAAUGUCAGGAUCCAUCUACAUAAGAUGUAGUAUGGACUGAUGCCAAGUGAGCCUGGGGUGGAAAUCAGAACUGGAUGCAAAUCCUGAUGUUAUCCGAGAACAGGCACCUGUUACAUAGGCUGUGUUACUGUGGCAAAGGUAAUGGUAAAACACAGACUGGCCAGAAGCAUUGUGUACAAUGAGACCUUGCAACUUUGUGUAUAUUAGUAUGUGGGGGGAUGUGAAUUAUUAAAGACAUUUAAAACUGACUGAAUCAGCAACCUCUAAUCUAUAAAAAAAAAUUCCAGACGUCCAGCCGGGCACGUUCUCGUGCCUAUAAUCUUAGUGCUUUGGGAAGCUGAGGCAGGAGGAUCACUUGAGGCCAGGAGUUUGAGACCAGCUUGGGCAACAUAGUGAGACCCCUGUCUCUACAAUAAAAGUAAACAACUUAGCUGGGCAUAAUGGCAUGUGCCUGUAGUCCCAGCUACUCAAGAGGUGGAGAUGGGAGGAUCACUUGAGCCCAGGAGUUUGAGGCUGCAGUCAGCCGUGACUGCACCACCAUACUCCAGCCUGGGUGACAGAGCGAGAUCUUGUCUUAAAACAAAACAAAACAAAACCCAGACUUCCUAUAAUUCCUAAAAAUAAAUGUGGGUUUGAGAGGCCUACCUUGAAAUGUACAAGAUCCUGGCCAGACUUCACCUAUCUAACAAUAUGCUAGUAACUAUUUGUUGACAUGUCUUAAAGAAAUGUUCAUCAGGGCCUCAGAAAGCAAGGCAGAGAACAGGUCCCUGAAAUUUACUAGCUUGCACCAAACCAUCAGAUAAAGAUAGGUUAAUAUUUGACAGAAAAAACUCUUCAAAAAGAGACAGUGAAAUACUCUUGAGAUGAAUCCAGGUAUUAAAAAGUUCAGGAAAAAAAAUUGUCUCUGGAAAAAAAAAGAAUCAAGGAGAGACCAGGUGCGGUGGCUCAUACCUGUAAUCCCAGCACUUUGGGAGGCCAAAGCAGGAAGGUCACUUGAGCCCAGGAGUUUGAGACCAGCCUUGGGCAACAUAGUGAGACCCCAUCUCUAAAAUUAUGUAAAUAAAAAUAUAAAAAUAAAAAAGAGAAAGCAAAUAACCCCAAAAUAACUUUUAUUUUUGUUUUUUAUUUUAUUAUUUUUAUUUUUUUUGAUACUGAGUCUCACUCUGUCGCCCAGGUUGGAGUGCAGUG